AAACUCACCAGAUAAGACAGCUGAAUGAUAGUCGGGCUGAAGACUCUACUUGACUAGCUGAGAGGAGGUGCAUGGCCGUCGUCAGUUCGUACUGUGAAGCAUCCUGUUAAGUCAGGCAACGAGCGAGACCCACGCCAACAGUUGCCAGCUCGUCCUCCGGGAUGGUGGGGACACUGUUGGGACCGCCUCUGCUAAAGAGGAAGAAGGAAUGGGCAACGGUAGGUCAGCAUGCCCCGAAUUAUCUGGGCUACACGCGGGCUACAAUGGGUGGGACAAUGGGUAUCGACACCGAAAGGUGAAGGCAAUCUCCUAAACCCAUCCGUAGUUCGGAUUGUGGGCUGCAACUCGCCCACAUAAAGCUGGAAUCUGUAGUAAUCGUGUCUCAAAAUGGCACGGUGAAUAUGUCCCUGCUCCUU
rnacentral:rRNA from 1 species